rnacentral:rRNA from 1 species
AACGUAGGAGACAAACGUUAUCCGGAGUUACUGGGCGUAAAGCGCGUGUAGGCGGCUAUGUAAGUCGGGCGUGAAAUCCCACGGCUCAACCGUGGAAGUGCACCCGAAACUGCGUAGCUAGAGUCCUGGAGAGGAAGGUGGAAUGCUUGGUGUAGAGGUGAAAUUCGUAGAUAUCAAGCGGAACACCGGUGGCGAAGGCGGCCUUCUGGACAGUGACUGACGCUGAGACGCGAAAGCGUGGGGAGCAAACAGG